rnacentral:misc_RNA from 1 species
AUUUCAACCCUCAAGCUCUGCUUGGUAUUGGGCGACGUCCGCUGCCGGACGCGCCUCGAAGACCUCGGCGACGGCGUCUUAGCCUCGAGCGUAGUAGUAACAUCUCGCUUUGGAGUGCUAGGCGUUGGCCGCCGGACAAUCGACCUUUGGUCUAUUACUUCCAAGG